rnacentral:tRNA from 1 species
GGCGACGUAGCCAAGUGGUAAGGCAGGAGUCUGCAAAACUCUUAUUCAGCAGUUCAAAUCUGCUCGUCGCCU